ensembl:lncRNA LINC02610 long intergenic non-protein coding RNA 2610
GCAUUUGACACUCGACAUCCUCGUGCUUCUUAAAGCACUUGCCCAACGGUGAGCAACGGCCUCCAACGGUGCCCGAGGGACUCGCGCUGCCCGUUAAGCAGCUUUGCGGUGGCGGAGGCUGGGCUGCCGUCUCUCCGACAUCCCGGGACGGAGGAAGAGAUGAAGGCUCUGCAGCCCCCGCCGCCCGAUUUACGCUUGAGAAAGCGAAGGCGAGAGAGGUCGUCCAGCCCCUGGGGGCCCAGCCCUAGAGAGCGGGGCGCGGGCUGCGGGGCCCGGCGGCCUGGACGGCGGAGCGUUGAAAGCUCCCCCAGGGAUAGGAAGUGCAGCCGAAAUCAACGAUUGAGGGUCUGAGCACCUCCCUCAUGCAGACAGAGCCCCGGCUCCCAUGUUCACCAUGCUGAGAAAGACCUGCGGGGGACAGCAGGAGGACAGCCGGGGAAUGGGCCCGCACUUGCCCAGGUGAGUGCUGUGGGGAGUCAGGCCAGCCCUGUGGAGAAGGCCGCUGGAAAGGGGGAACUGAUGCUGCCAUUCCUUAUAAAAAGGGCCACCCAGUCCAUGUAGCUGAGGACCAGCACCAGGCAGGAUCUUUAAUGGGACU